rnacentral:lncRNA from 1 species
CGCCCGUUCGCGGAAACUUUUGCUCCCCCUGGGAGUUCUUGGCCGCUGGCGGGUCUUGUCCGGCAGCCGAAGCUGGGCGUGGUGGUAAUCAGAAAUGAGUCUGGUCUGCGGAGAUCUGGGGUUCGUGGAGAAAAGUAACUGGCGCAGAAAAUCAAUCACUUCGUGUGCCGUUGUUAGUGGGGAGGCAGUGUCUCCGGGGAGAAAGAUGAAAGCGCUCGGUCUCCCCGCCGUGACCAUCAUCGGGGAACCGCAUUUUGCGACGAGAGUGGGAAAGUUUCGUGAUGUGGUUGGCAGUAGUCAGGCUUGCCCCUGGGACUCUCUUCUGUGGAUUUUCCCACCAGCCAUCUCUUCAACUCAUUCAUCAUGUUCAAAAGUUUCUGAGGUCCAAGAGGUACUAACUUGUUUUGAGGCAACCCAACACCAAGAAUGGUCUUCAGUGAAGGAGACAGAAAAAUGAGAAGGAAUAUGUGGGCAAAAUAAAAUGCUUUGGAAAAGAAGCA